rnacentral:rRNA from 1 species
UACGUAGGGACCAAGCGUUGUUCGGAUUUACUGGGCGUAAAGGGCGCGUAGGCGGCGCGGUAAGUCCGCUGUGAAAGUCGGGGGCUCAACCCUCGAAUGCCGGUGGAUACUGUCGGGCUAGAGUGCGGAAGAGGCGAGUGGAAUUCCUGGUGUAGCGGUGAAAUGCGCAGAUAUCAGGAGGAACACCAAUGGCGAAGGCAGCUCGCUGGGACGGUACUGACGCUGAGACGCGAAAGCGUGGGGAGCAAACGGG